UGAAAUGAUCUAAAAUCUAGUCGAUAUAUCUAAUAUUUCCCAUUUUGAGACGGCUGUGCACUUAGAGACUAUCUAGCUUUUUUCUGGACACUAUUUACUUAUUUCAGGUCAUUUUGUUAAAUAAAGUUAUCUCACUAUACGGGCAGAUAAUUUUGCUGGUUUAAAUAAUCUUAAAUUAAGCUUACAACAAUCUCAACAGGAGAAAUAUUAGAUAUCUUGACUAUAUUUAAGAUCAUUUUACUUGACAAGACACCAUUUUUUGCAGGGUAUAAAAAUGUACAGCACUUCUCCAGAUUAAAUCUACAAAGUGCUUCACAACGUAAUAAAGUACACAGAUGCUGGGUGUUAGGUGCUGUAUCAGGGGUACUGAGGUCAGUUUGAGGGUACUGUGAGUGUAUUAUGAGUAUUUUAACAGGCGCAGUCCUGGUGUGACGCUGUAUCAGGGGUACUGAGGUCAGUUUGAGGGUACUGUGAGUGUAUUAUGAGUAUUUUAACAGGCGCAGUCCUGGUGUGACGCUGUAUCAGGGGUACUGAGGUCAGUUUGAGGGUACUGUGAGUGUAUUAUGAGUAUUUUAACAGGCGCAGUCCUGGUGUGACGCUGUAUUUGGUGGUACUGAGGUCAGUUUGAGGGUACUGCGAGUGUAUUAUGAGUAUUUUAACAGGCGCAGUCCUGGUGUGACGCUGUAUUUGGUGGUACUGAGGUCAGUUUGAGGGUACUGUGAGUGUAUUAUGAGUAUUUUAACAGGCGCAGUCCUGGUGUGACACUGUAUUUGGGGUACUGAGGUCAGUUUGAGGGUACUGUGAGUGUAUUAUGAGUAUUUUAACAGGCGCAGUCCUGGUGUGACACUGUAUUUGGUGGUACUGAGGUCAGUUUGAGGGUACUGUGAGUGUAUUAUGAGUAUUUUAACAGGCGCAGUCCUGGUGUGACACUGUAUUUGGGGUACUGAGGUCAGUUUGAGGGUACUGUGAGUGUAUUAUGAGUAUUUUAACAGGCGCAGUCCUGGUGUGACGCUGUAUUAGGAGUAUUGAGGUCAGUUUGAGAGUACUGUGAGUGUAUUAUGAGUAUUUUAACAGGCGCAGUCCUGGUGUGACGCUGUAUUUGGUGGUAUUGAGGUCAGUUUGAGGGUACUGUGAGUGUAUUAUGAGUAUUUUAACAGGCGCAGUCCUGGUGUGACGCUGUAUUUGGUGGUAUUGAGGUCAGUUUGAGGAUACUGUGACUGUAUUAUGAGUAUUUUAACAGGUGCAGUCCUGGUGUGAACGCUGUAUUUGGAGUACUGAGGUCAGUUUGAGGGUACUGAGUGUAUUAUGAGUAUUUUAACAGGCGCAGUCCUGGUGUGACGCUGUAUUUGGUGAUAUUGAGGUCAGUUUGAGGGUACUGUGAGUGUAUUUUAAGUAUUUUAACAAGCUCAGUCCUGGUG